ACGGCCUACGGGGGGCAGCAGUGGGGAAUAUUGCACAAUGGGGGAAACCCUGAUGCAGCGACGCCGCGUGAGUGAAGAAGUAUCUCGGUAUGUAAAGCUCUAUCAGCAGGAAAGAUAAUGACGGUACCUGACUAAGAAGCCCCGGCUAACUACGUGCCAGCAGCCGCGGUAAUACGUAGGGGGCAAGCGUUAUCCGGAUUUACUGGGUGUAAAGGGAGCGUAGACGGCGCGGCAAGUCUGAAGUGAA
rnacentral:rRNA from 1 species